UACGGAGGGGGCAAGCGUUGUUCGGAUUUACUGGGCGUAAAGGGCGCGUAGGAGGUCGAUUAAGUUACUUGUGAAAUCUCUGAGCUUAACUCAGAGCGGCCAAGUAAUACUAUUUGACUAGAGUGCAGAAGGGGCAACUGUAAUUCUUGGUGUAGCGGUGAAAUGCGUAGAUAUCAAGAGGAACACCUGAGGCGAAGGCGGGUUGCUGGGCUUACACUGACGCUGAGGCGCGAAAGCUAGGGGAGCAAACCGG
rnacentral:rRNA from 1 species